rnacentral:lncRNA from 1 species
AGCUUCCUCUUUAUCAUUGGACAGUCGAACCCUCCGCAGCCUCUACAGUCCUUUCCAAUCAUGGUUUGUCCAUUAUUUUUUUCGCUUUUUUAACUAAUAUCACAUACCACGUCACCAAAACACGGGUACGUCAUACUAUUUCGCAUCCCACAGAACAGUUUCUUUGAAAGACCUUCUAAACCUAUCCGAAAUAGGGAAAUAGGAAUCCCAUCCCUCUCAAUCAGUUACUACACUUUGUUUAUAUUUUUCCUUCCUCGGAAGCAUGUCGGAGCUCUCCUACUCAAUCAAAUGUCAGAAUCGUAUAGAACAUGCAAACGCCUGCCGGCCAGCAGCAGCACACGUGCUAAGGACACGUGGCCACUUAUACGUAGGCCGUGGUGGACACAUGGCGGCCACGUCACAUAUAGCACACAUGCAGCACGCAC